GUGUAACCUUCCCUCGUUACUUUUUACACAUAACGAGAGUAUAUAAUUAUAUCUGAAUUCUCUUUUAAUGAAGUUUUGCUGAGGUCAGCUCAGGAAGAGGUCUGGGUAUUUUGUGAGUGUGUUUUAAGCCAAGUGAGGAAAAUCGAAGAAUGUGCGUGAGUUCUGGAAAUGCCAUCGCUGACAGGGACGCCAUCGGGUGCCCAUCACCUCUGAGAACAAUGCCCAGUGCGCAUCCAGAAAAUAAAAGUGAGGCAUGAUGUCACUAUCUCACAUGUCCCAAUCUGGCUUCAGAACCAACUUCCUUGACACGUGGCUACUUCGCCACCUACAUAGAGGAUUCUGGGUGAGGAAGAAUAUGGAGAUUUCAUUUUACAGAUGAAGAGUUUAACAGUGGCGACAAGGGAGAAGGAAACUCUCUCCAGUUGAAAGGGACCAUGAGACAUUUAUAUCCAAGAUACCAAGACAGAACUAUGCUUCAGACUCAGAAGAGAUCCUUUCUUGAGAUAAGAAGGAGACAAAAGAAAUGUUAUCAAUCCACAAAGAUGAUAAUAUGUAUGUCUACCUGGUUCUACCAUAAACGUCUGUGUAUACUCUCCUAUUUUCAAACUUAUCUGGUUCCUGUAACUGACCAUAACCCUGAAGAGGUUAGUGUUGCAAUAAUUCCAUUUACUCCAUUAAAAAAAAUCCCUGAUGACUUUGCAAUUUAUAUUACUUCUCAGCGGCUUCAGUUGCAGACUACUUGCUUAGCUCAGUGCUUUUGCUGGGUCUGUGCCUCGGUCUGGGGCUGGAACUCCUUAAACUAACACAAAAGACUAAGUUAAGUCACCAGUCUGUCAAAAUAGGUUCCUUAUCUUGGCACACAGGCUGAGCAAGCGAACGGUGUCACGCACAGUUAGAGAAGCCAUUGUCUUGUUCAAUCAUUCUGUAACUUCCUUUAGUUUUCCGAUCAUAUUCACACUUUUCUGGCACAUAACUGAGGCCCACUAAGUUUUCUAACUAAAU